rnacentral:tRNA from 1 species
UGCGGAGAGGAUGCUGGUUCCCACCCCGGCUCAUAAUCAGGGCCACGCCGGUUCGAUUCCGGCCUCCGCGACCA